rnacentral:rRNA from 1 species
AAUAGAUACCCUGGUAGUCCACGCCGUAAACGGUGGGCACUAGGUGUGGGCGACAUUCCACGUCGUCCGUGCCGCAGCUAACGCAUUAAGUGCCCCGCCUGGGGAGUACGGCCGCAAGGCUAAAACUCAAAGGAAUUGACGGGGGGCCCGCACAAGCGGCGGAGCAUGUGGCUUAAUUCGACGCAACGCGAAGAACCUUACCAAGGCUUGACAUACACCGGAAACGUCCAGAGAUGGGCGCCCCCUUGUGGUCGGUGUACAGGUGGUGCAUGGCUGUCGUCAGCUCGUGUCGUGAGAUGUUGGGUUAAGUCCCGCAACGAGCGCAACCCUUGUCCCGUGUUGCCAGCAGGCCCUUGUGGUGCUGGGGACUCACGGGAGACCGCCGGGGUCAACGUCGGAGGAAGGUGGGGACGACGUCAAGUCAUCAUGCCCCUUAUGUCUUGGGCUGCACACGUGCUACGAAUGGCCGGUACAAUGAGCUGCGAUACCGCGAGGUGGAGCGAAUCUCAAAAAGCCGGUCUCAGUUCGGAUUGGGGU